UACGGAGGAUGCGAGCGUUAUCCGGAUUUAUUGGGUUUAAAGGGUGCGUAGGCGGACUGUCAAGUCAGCGGUAAAAUUGAGAGGCUCAACCUCUUCCCGCCGCUGAAACUGGUGGUCUUGAGUGGAUGAGAAGUACGCGGAAUGCGUGGUGUAGCGGUGAAAUGCAUAGAUAUCACGCAGAACUCCGAUUGCGAAGGCAGCGUACCGGCAUCCAACUGACGCUGAGGCACGAAAGCGUGGGGAGCAAACAGG
rnacentral:rRNA from 1 species